UGGGGAAUAUUGCACAAUGGGCGCAAGCCUGAUGCAGCCAUGCCGCGUGUAUGAAGAAGGCCUUCGGGUUGUAAAGUACUUUCAGCGAGGAGGAAGGCAUUAAGGUUAAUAACCUUGGUGAUUGACGUUACUCGCAGAAGAAGCACCGGCUAACUCCGUGCCAGCAGCCGCGGUAAUACGGAGGGUGCAAGCGUUAAUCGGAAUUACUGGGCGUAAAGCGCACGCAGGCGGUCUGUCAAGUCGGAUGUGAAAUCCCCGGGCUCAACCUGGUAACUGCAUUCGAAACUGGCAGGCUAGAGUCUUGUAGAGGGGGGUAGAAUUCCAGGUGUAGCGGUGAAAUGCGUAGAGAUCUGGAGGAAUACCGGUGGCGAAGGCGGCCCCCUGGACAAAGACUGACGCUCAGGUGCGAAAGCGUGGGGAGCAAACA
rnacentral:rRNA from 1 species